CCUGCGGAAGGAUCAUUAAUGAAUUCACUAUGGAGUUGUUGCUGGCCUCUAGGGGCAUGUGCACGCUUCACUAGUCUUUCAACCACCUGUGAACUUUUGAUAGAUCUGUGAAGUCGUCUUUCAAGUCGUCAGACUUGGUUUGCUGGGAUUUAAACGUCUCGGUGUGACAACGCAGUCUAUUUACUUAACACACCCCAAAUGUAUGUCUACGAAUGUCAUUUAAUGGGCCUUGUGCCUAUAAACCAUAAUACAACUUUCAACAACGGAUCUCUUGGCUCUCGCAUCGAUGAAGAACGCAGCGAAAUGCGAUAAGUAAUAUGAAUUGCAGAAUUCAGUGAAUCAUCGAAUCUUUGAACGCACCUUGCGCCCCUUGGUAUUCCGAGGGGCAUGCCUGUUUGAGUGUCAUUAAAUUCUCAAACUCACUUUGGUUUUUUUCCAAUUGUGAUGUUUGGAUUGUUGGGGGCUGCUGGCCUUGACAGGUCGGCUCCUCUUAAAUGCAUUAGCAGGACUUCUCAUUGCCUCUGCGCAUGAUGUGAUAAUUAUCACUCAUCAAUAGCACGCAUGAAUAGAGUCCAGCUCUCUAAUCGUCCGCAAGGACAAUUUGACAAUUUGACCUC
rnacentral:rRNA from 1 species